UACGAAGGGGGCUAGCGUUGCUCGGAAUCACUGGGCGUAAAGGGUGCGUAGGCGGGUUUUUAAGUCAGGGGUGAAAUCCUGGAGCUCAACUCCAGAACUGCCUUUGAUACUGAAGAUCUUGAGUCCGGGAGAGGUGAGUGGAACUGCAAGUGUAGAGGUGAAAUUCGUAGAUAUUCGCAAGAACACCAGUGGCGAAGGCGGCUCACUGGCCCGAUACUGACGCUGAGGCACGAAAGCGUGGGGAGCAAACAGG
rnacentral:rRNA from 1 species